GACAUAGGUCGCAAACGUUAUCCGGAAUUAUUGGGCGUAAAGGAUGCGUAGAUGGUUCAGUAAGUUACUGGUGGGAAAUCGAGGCUCAACCUCGUGGAAGUCAGUAAUACUGCUGAACUUGAGUGCAGGAGAGGUUAACGGAACUUUAUGUGGAGCGGUAAAAUGCGUAGAUAUAUGAAAGAACAUCAAUAUGGCGAAGGCAGUUAACUAUUCUGUUACUGACAUUGAGGCA
rnacentral:rRNA from 1 species